rnacentral:rRNA from 1 species
ACAUAUUUUAGAGCUAAAAUCAUAUUAAUUAAAUAAUUAAUAUUACUUUCAAAUCCACCUUCAUUAGAAAUCUUCAUUUCCAAAUCCAUUUAAAUUUAUUUAUUGUAACCCAUCUCUCCUUAACCAUAAACUACACCUUGAUCUGAUUUCUUUUGUUAUAUAAAAUCUUGAAUAUUAAAUUUCUUAUAAAAUACUCAAACUACGACGAUAUAUAAAUUAAUAAAUUAAGUUCAAUUAAUCGUGGACUAUCGAUUACAGAACAGGUUCCUCUGAAAAGACUAAAAUACCGCCAAAAUCUUUAAUUUUCAAGAACAUAACUAAUACUAAUUAAGUUUUUUUAAUUUACAUUUAAA